CCAGGGAGGUGUUCAGGGUGCAAACACCCUCUCCGGACAGGCCCCCAACCGGAGACUUGCCUUGGCCCUCUGUGGGUCUCCCACCCACCCUCCUGGGCAGGCCUCAGCUGGCAUGCCUACCUGGGCCUCUGUCUUCAGGCCUGAGCCACUGGUGCCUGUGUCUCAAGCUGUGGAGGCAGCUUCCCAGUCCAGGGAGUGCCCUGGGUCCACUUCUCUUCUGGGUCACUCAUUCUAAGUGGGACUCCUUCAUGGCAAAGAAUGUUGGAAAGACGUAAGAAGCUCUGAGCCUGGAGUAGCCCGUCAGAGCUCGUUCCUGGAAGCUUCCCCUUUAAUGGCAGGAUCUGCUCAAAAACCCAGCACAAAGCUGAGGCGGGAGGAUCACUUGAGCUCGGGAGUUCAAGACCAGCCUGGGCAACAUAAGGCAACCGUAUUUCUACAAAAAGUUUAAAAAAUCAGCCGGGCCUGGUGGUGCAUGCCUGUGGUCCCAGGUACUUGGGAGACUGAGGUGGGUGGAUCCCUUGAACCCAGGAGGUUGAGGCUGCAGUGAGCUGUGAUUGAGCCACUGCUUUCCAUCCUGGGUGACAGAGCGAGAUCUUGUCUCAAAAACAAAACAAAACAAGCCAGCACAACAUGCAAGCCCUUUGUUCAGCAGUCUCCCGUCCCCGUCCACAGCCCCCAGCAUCCCCGCACCUACCCUGUUUCCAGCACACCCCUCACCGCAGGUACCAGGCCUGGGGUCCCUCACUUCCAGGCCCCUGUGCCUGGUGGCUCUUCUACCAGGAAGGCCUUUCCCCUCUGCUCCAGACUGACUGCACCACAUCCUUCCGAACUCUGCUCCGGCCCCGAUCCCCCUCCCCCUGAAGCCUGCUUAGAUAAAGCACUGGGGGCAGCUUUUUCCUGUCCCAGGGGUCCACGGCUAUUUGGAAGCAGGGCAGGGCUCCGUCUAGGCCUGGCAUUGGCCUGGCCCACAGUGAGUGCUCUGUGGAGCCUUAUCCAGUGAAGUCACAUGGGAAACACCAUCCUUGAGUGGGCACCAAGCCAGGCUGAGGCCUAAGGGAUGGGGAAGGUCUGAGAACAGCUCAGGGGGAUGGCAGGGGAGGCCAGUGUGGAUGUAGAGUCGGUGGCCAGCAGUGAGCAAGGCUGCUGCAGCUCAGGACAGCGUGGUCAGCAGUGUCCAGGCCAGGUCAGCCACGGCCCCGCAUGGAACUGAACCCACCAUGCAGACAAAACAAGGGCUUUUCACACCAUCCAGAACCUUGGGGGAGGUGGCCCCAGCUGGCCCUUGGUCUGUGGGCUUUUCUGUGGCCCCUGGCUGGGUAUUGGAGGAAGGUAAAAAAAAAGACUGGAGGCCGGGCGCAGUGGCUCACGUCUGUAAUCCCAGCACUUUGGGAGGCUAAGGCGGGUGGAUCACCUAAGGUCAGGAGUUCGAGAGCAGCCUGACCAACAUGGAGAAACCCCAUCUCUACUAAAAAUACAAAAUUAGCUGGGCGUGGUGGCACGUGCCUGUAAUCCCAGCUACUCAGGAGGCUGAGGCAGGAGAAUAGCUUGAACUCUGGAGGCGGAGGUUGCAGUGAGCCGAGAAUGCGCAAUUGCACUCCAGCUUGGGCAAGAAGAGCGAAACUCCAUGUCAAAAAAAAAAAAAAAAAAA
rnacentral:lncRNA from 1 species